rnacentral:rRNA from 1 species
GCUGGCGGCAGGCCUAACACAUGCAAGUCGAGCGGUAACAUUUCUAGCUUGCUAGAAGAUGACGAGCGGCGGACGGGUGAGUAACGCGUAGAAAUCUACCUAGUAGUGGGGGAUAGCCCAGAGAAAUUUGGAUUAAUACCGCAUACGCCCUACGGGGGAAANCGGGGGAUCUUCGGACCUCGUGCUAUUAGAUGAGUCUGCGUCGGAUUAGCUUGUUGGUGAGGUAAUGGCUCACCAAGGCGACGAUCCGUAGCUGGUCUGAGAGGAUGACCAGCCACACUGGAACUGAGACACGGUCCAGACUCCUACGGGAGGCAGCAGUGGGGAAUAUUGCACAAUGGGCGCAAGCCUGAUGCAGCCAUGCCGCGUGUGUGAAGAAGGCCUUAGGGUUGUAAAGCACUUUCAGCAGUGAGGAAAGGGGUGUCGUUAAUAGCGCCAUCCUGUGACGUUAACUGCAGAAGAAGGACCGGCUAACUCCGUG